rfam:Lobosporangium transversale strain NRRL 3116 BCR41scaffold_54, whole genome shotgun sequence.
GGCCUAAUGGUCUAGUCGUAUGAUUCUCGCUUUGGGUGCGAGAGGUCCCGGGUUCAAUUCCCGGUUGGGCCC